CACGUAGGGGACGAGCGUUGUCCGGAUUCAUUGGGCGUAAGGCGCGCGUAGACGGCCCGGAAAGUCGGAUGUGAAAACCUGGGGCUCAACCCCAGGCGGGCACCCGAUACUCCCGGGCUGGAGGCAGGUAGGGGAGAUCGGAAUUCCUGGUGUAGCGGUGAAAUGCGCAGAUAUCAGGAGGAACACCAAUGGCGAAGGCAGCUCGCUGGGACGUGACUGACGCUGAGACGCGAAAGCGUGGGGAGCAAACAGG
rnacentral:rRNA from 1 species